rnacentral:rRNA from 1 species
UACUGGAGGACAGGUGGCUGCAUGGCGUGUCGUCAGCUCGUGUCGUGAGAUGUUGGGUUAAGUCCCGCAACGAGCGCAACCCUUGCCUUUAGUUGCCAGCAGUUCGGCUGGGCACUCUAAAGGGACUGCCGGUGUUAAACCGGAGGAAGGUGGGGAUGACGUCAAGUCCUCAUGGCCUUUAUGACCAGGGCUACACACGUACUACAAUGGCCGAUACAAAGGGCAGCGACACUGCGAGGUGAAGCCAAUCCCGUAAAAUCGGUCUCAGUCCGGAUUGGAGUCUGCAACUCGACUCCAUGAAGUUGGAAUCGCUAGUAAUCGUGUAUCAGCAUGCCACGGUGAAUACGUUCCCGGGCCUU